GUGCUCACUUCAGCUGCAUGUAUACUAAAAUUGGAAUAACACAGAGAAGAUUAGCAUGGCCCCUGUGCAAGGAUGACAUAUAAAUUUGUGAAGCAUUCUGUGUUUUU
ensembl:snRNA U6 U6 spliceosomal RNA